UUGGAUGUAAAAAUUCAUUCAUUCGUUCAUUCAAGGCUUCUCCUCACGAGGGUUGCGGGCGUGCUGGAGCCUAUCCCAGGUGACUUUGGGCUGCAGGCGGAGUACAGCCUGAACUGGUUCCCACCCAAUCGUAGGGAGAAUGUAGAGAGGAACCGAUAAGCAAGCUUCCUUCAUCCCAUUUCACAUUUCGGCAAGUUCUGUGUUUGUUCAGUAUAUACAGAAAGCUAUGAUGAUGAAACUAUGACUCUGUACAUGCCCAAAAAACAAAUCAAUCAAUAUUUAAGAAAAGCUCAUUGUUGUUAGGUUGUUAUUGUUUUUUUCGCAAAUCUCUCUUUUUUUGUAUUAUUAAAAUUACUUUUAGAUUUUUUAAAGACUAGGAAAUCACCCUGGUUACUGGUUUACUGGUAGCUGCAAUCUGAAUCAAAUCGAGAAUUUGUUGUAAGCCAAGAUGGAGGAGAUACGUAUAUGGACGUGACGAAGGAAGACUUGCAAAUAGCUGCAGUUAAGGCUAAAAAUGGCGAGAACUGGGAAGGCAUGGAAGAGGAUGAUUUAUUGUUCCGACCCGUGAGUAAGGUGAAGCCAAAAGGGAGAAGACUGCACUUGUCUAAAAUUUUGGUGACCUUAUUUUGCCCUCUUUAGAGCUCAGAAUGAUACUGUGCACUUUCACAGAAAUGUCAAACACCCUCACACAGAUACAACUAGCUAAUUAUUAAUCAAUAGCUUUCAAACUGUUUCACUCAAACUGACUUGGGUCAUGUUAGGUGCAAUAUGAUGUGAAGUUGUCUUGGUGCUUGGCCACUCUGCAUUCCUUUUUCUUCGCAGCAGCUCUUUAACUGGAUCUUUGACUCGAACACCCUGGUAUGGCCUGGACCUGCUCAGAGCAGGAGGAUGGGCUAGAAAUGACAGAAAAAGAGCCAUGAAGACAACUUAAUUUCCAUUGUGUGGAGAAACAAGCUCUUGGCACAUUUAUAAUACACUUGCUGGACUAUGAGACCUGAUGGAAGGAGCAGUUUAUCAGCAAUUGCAAACAGUGUGAUCUAUUAGACAACAAUUGCAAAUUAAACACAAAGUAUGGUGACAUAAACUCCUCUGUUCCUGCAAAUCAAAUUGAGCAUUGACAUCUUGCUUUAGAAGUAGACACAAAACAGGAAGUGGAGUGACACACUCAAAGCAAAACACUGAUACAUAUGUCCCUUGCUGACAAAGUACAUUUUGAUUGUGGUUAAAAUCUUUAUACAUAUGUUAGACAAGUUAUAAUGUCUAAAAAGUGAGAUGCAUGCAGUCCAUCUGUGAUCCAAAUCCUGACCCCAGGGUCAGGGGUGAGCCGAAGACAAUAUCAGUUGACAUGCCAGAGGCAGUAAAUUGCAACAGACAAGUGAAUCUCAGGGCACAAAGAGAGACAGCCCUUUGUAUUGGACAGUGUCAAGUCUUGAAUUAACCUGACAUGCAUGAUUUUGGAAUGUGGGAGAAAAUUGGAGUUUCCUACAUAAGCACAUUGAGAACAGGAAGACUUUACACAGAUAGGUCAGAACUAAUCUACCCAAAAACUUUGACUGCGAGGCAGACCUUUAGAGGCCAUGCAUUUAUUUUCUCCCCUGAUGCUUAUUUUCUACACCGGGAAAAUCUCUCAGCUGAUUUAUGAAAGGUGAAAUGCGGUGAACACUUGCGGCUAAUCAUGUCAUUUUCACGGAAUAAGGAAUGGGCCGCUUUCAAAUAAAGGUAAAGAAUUCCGCAGCGACAGGAGCACUCCCUCACCAUUGUCUAGUGUGCAGUACUAAAUAUGGCCUGUAGAGGGGAACAACUUUCAGUUUGUGGUUCGCAAUGUCAAACUUAACUCGUAAAAGUUUGAUGACCUUGAUUUUGACUCUGACAGACUGUGAAGGUGAUGGCCAACAGUAAAAACAGAAAAAAGUCAACUUCCACAUUCCCACGACUCCAUGAUUUUCUACUUAAUUUCAAUCACAAAAGAGGAAACACAUUGUUGCAUAAAUAUUGCUUUACCUUUAUGAGGAAUUGCAGUAACUGCACCAGUACUUGACUUAAGAUGAUGACUGAAAGGUCACGCACACAGUGUCACAAGCUCAGUAGAAAACAGACUAACUUCUUGCUAUAUGCAGACAUUAGUUAAGACGAAGAGCUCAUCUUUCAUGAUUGGUGUAAAUCUUGCAUGGAGAUGGGUUAGGCCUCAUGUUGGUACUUAUGCAGGAUCUGCAAGUGGCAGGGCUACACCGUUGUGGGAGUGGUCAUAGCUGGCUUCAACCAUGGCCAAUUAAAGCCUCUCAUUUCAUAUACUUUAAAAGUGGUCUGUUAGUCAUGCACAAGAUCGUAAAAUUGUGUACGUUUGGGGAUGACACCACCCUCUUUGGGCUUAUGUGAGACUGUGAGUUUGCCAACAAUAUGGAGGUGGACCAGCUGGUGUCCUUCAACAACCACAACCUGAGGGUUGUUAUCCCAAACUAGGAAGGCCACAGGCCCAUCAUGCCUCUAUUCCCUCACAGGCUUUUUCAUCUCCACAAUGGACUGCUUCCACUUUCUGGACACCACAAUCACCAAGGACUGACCCAAGUGGGAGUUGACCAUAAGAUUUCGGACCAUUCGGACGUCAAGCACAGCGCGUUCGCUUCUCUUCCGGGGGGGGGGGGGGCUGCUAAUCGGACGUCAAGCGCUUUGUGUGGCGGGCUCCAUCUAGUGUGGAAACUGAGAAGUGCUCAAGCUGUUGUGCGGGCCACAUUCAAUUAUGUUUUCAGAAUUUGCCGCAGUUGGCCCGCGGGCCGUAGUUUGGACACCCCUACUGUAGAGCUUGGAUAGCAAAGUAAAUGUAUUGUUACUUCAAAGUAACUCAAAAUAGAACAAUGAAUGUGUAAAAAGCUGGCAACAAAGCACCGUCGUAACCCUUUUCGGCAUGGAGUUCACCAGAGCUUCACAGGUCGCCGCUGGAAUCCUCUUCCACUCUUCCAUGAUGACAUUACGGAGCUGGUGGAUGUUUGAGACUUUCGCUCCUCCACCUUCCGUUUGAGGAUGCCCCACAGAUGUUCAAUAGUGUUUAGGUCUGGGGACAUGCUUGGCCAGUCCAUCACUUUCACCCUCAGCUUCUUUGGGAAGGCAGUGGUCAUCUUGGAAGUGUGUUUGGGGUCAUUAUCGUGUUGGAAUACUGCUCCGCGGCCCAGUUUACGGAGGGAGGGGAUCCCUUUAAGUAAGACCAACGAUGUUUUGAGUGUACUAAUGUAUUCUUUUUAAUAAUGUUUUUAUAUUGAAGCCGAGAAAAAAAAGCUCACCAUUAAUGAGACUUCUGGGGCUGCAUCGUUUCGCUGAUGGCUUUGUAGUGCGGUUGAUAUGCGGUGAGGUUGAACUUCAUGCAGGCCUUGAGGCUCUCAUCAGUCAUAAUUGCCCGAUCGUGAACGGUUCUUACUGACAGAGGCAUGUCUUUUAUCCGUUUGAGUAUCUUUUCUUUAUCCGUGAAGUCGUCAAAAAGUUCAUUAGCCAGACGCAGUCACCAAAAGAGCCAUAUCUGGCUCGCGAGCCAUAGGUUCCCGACCCCUGGUCUGUAGGAUUCCAUCCAUUCAAAACCAAUCGGUCUAUAGGACCUGGGGACUUCAUGUCAGAUUACAGCUGACCCUACUCACCCUGGACUAAACUUGUUGGACCUUUUCCCCUUAGGCAUGAGGCUGCAGUUCAUCCAGACCACAACCUCCCAUCACAUAAACACUUACCUCCCCUUGGCUACCAGACUCCUACUCAUGAACACUAAAUAAAACAGCACUUAAAAUUUCACACCUACCGUCUGUCUAUUGGACUAUUGUUAUCUACUAUUUAUUGUUAACUAAGCUACUAUACCACAUGUUUUUAUUCCUCUGUUUACUUAAACUUUACUGUUAUUAACAUUUAUAAUUCAUGAUGCACUGUCAGAUGCCCCAACAUUUCCAGAUAUGAUUGUAAUGUUCAAUAACAAAAUAAAUAAAUAAAUAAAUAAAUAAAUAAAUGUCGAACUCUUUUCAAAUUUAUGGAAUCCUUAUUGGGUUAUUAUUGACCAACCAAGAUGUAUUUGGGUUUAAAAUAUAAAAAUGGAUGAUGCAUUAGAAUAAUAUUACAUGGUACUAUUUCUGUCAAAAAUGAUCCAAUAUGUGUUGUAUUAAUUUCAAAGGUUAUUUUCACCAAUAAGAGGGUCAUAUUUUUGGAUUGAGGUUUUAUGGUCACAUUUUGUUGUCAACAUCAAUUGUUAGAUUUAUUGCUCUUCUAAUUACACAUUUUAUUGAAAAAAUACAAAGAAACAGCUGUCUUUACAAAUAAAUAAAUUAAUUAAUGAAUUAAA